CCUACGGGAGGCAGCAGUGAGGAAUAUUGGUCAAUGGCCGCAAGGCUGAACCAGCCAAGUCGCGUGAGGGAUGAUGGUCCUAUGGAUUGUAAACCUCUUUUGUCAGGGAGCAAAGGACGCCACGUGUGGCGCUUUGCGAGUACCUGAAGAAAAAGCAUCGGCUAACUCCGUGCCAGCAGCCGCGGUAAUACGGAGGAUGCGAGCGUUAUCCGGAUUUAUUGGGUUUAAAGGGUCCGCAGGCGGAAUGCAAAGUCAGCGGGAAAAUCUCGGGGCUCAACCCGGGAGUGCCGUUGAAACUGGCGUUCUUGAGUGAGCGAGAGGUAUGCGGAAUGCGUGGUGUAGCGGUGAAAUGCAUAGAUAUCACGAAGAACUCCGAUUGCGAAGGCAGCAUACCGGCGCUCAACUGACGUUGAUGCACGAAAGCGUGGGUAUCGAACAGGAUUAGAUACCCUUGUAGUC
rnacentral:rRNA from 1 species